UACAUGGGGUGCAAACGUUGCUCGGAAUUAUUGGGCGUAAAGCGCACGUAGGCGGUUCGUUAAGUCGGAUGUGAAAGCCCUCGGCUCAACUGAGGAAGUGCACCCGAAACUGGCGAGCUUGAGUACGAAAGAGGAUCGCGGAAUUCCCGGUGUAGAGGUGAAAUUCGUAGAUAUCGGGAGGAACACCGGUGGCGAAGGCGGCGAUCUGGGUCGAUACUGACGCUGAGGCGCGAAAGCUAGGGGAGCAAACGGG
rnacentral:rRNA from 1 species